rnacentral:lncRNA from 1 species
CGUUAAAUGAGUUUAUGAAUUUGUCUGUAUAUACUCAUCAUGUUGUCCAUGAAUUUGCGUGCAUUCAUUACGUGAGAGCAUAGCCAGGAGUUAUUUAUAUGUGCGAUCUGCUAGAAGUACAGAAUUGUUCUUUCAUAGAACCUUCACAGAAUGACGUGUCUUUGCCUUGAAGAACGAAUUUUCCCCAAUAACGAAAGGAAACAACAACAAAGGAAACAAAAAUUCUCUCACCAUUUGGAACCCUAAAAAUCGCCUGCAACUUUGCCCGACCGAAAUCCAGCUCCGGCCGACCGACCGACGAGUCGCCUCUGUGAAGAACACCUCCGGCAGCCCGAUCGACGAAUCGCCACAGCAACAACCACAUCCGACAGCCUGUCUUGCUUCCCUAUUUUAUGGAAUCGAGACGUCAUAACCAUCUCUUCCCCAUUUUUAGUCUGUGGAAUAGUGUCCACCCAGUAUCUGAUAUCUUUUACCAUCAGGUAAGCCAAAAUUCAUUUCGUAUUUUAGUUGUUUCCAGAAGCUGGUGUUGUUUGGUAAUUUAGGGAAUAUAGUGGUGUGAAUGGAAGAUUAUGAUUAUGAACGUUGGGCAAAAAUUCAAUUUGCGAAAUUCGAUUUCUGGAAACUUUAGAAUUUGUGCAGCAUUCGGCUAUGUCUUACUCUGUGAUCCAUUUCGCUGGAGCAACAUUUGUGGAAUAUGGUUGCACUAGUUGGGAUGGUUAUGUAUUCAUAUUAUUGUGUUCUUGAGAAUUAGAGAAAUGUGUAAGAAAAAUUGAUUCUGCCAUGCCUAGAAUUGUUGUUUUUUGAUUUAAAGAAAGAAAUCAUAACAUGAAAAUAGUGAUGUUAUUUCCAAAAUCAAAGAAAUCUUCUUUCUGUUAUGUUAAGCAAUAUACCUAAAUCGUAUGAACUUUAUCCGUUAUUUAACAUUGUUGAUCAAUCAAACCAAAUUAUCUUUCAGUUUCCUAUAAACUGGGAAUUCUGUGGACCUUUUAAUUUGUAUUAGAGUAAGGGGUUGAAGCUUUUCUGUAAAGGAGAAUUCCAGUUUUUGUAGUAGCAUUAUAUAAUUUAUGUAUUUUUCUAAGUGGGGUUGGUGGUUAUUUUGAUAAUUUGACAAGUUGAAAGAACAAAGGGACCUCUGAAUUUUGUAGUAUUUCUUACGCUGCCGAACUCAUUGUUUUUUUCUUCCAGGAUGAUUUGGUGUCUAUCACAGUUGUAGAAGUAUGGACCACUUCUUCCUGAAUUACCCGAUAAAACGACGAUGCCCAUAGUGUAUGCACGGAUUGCAAAUAUAUUUUGAAGUUGAAAUUGAGACAAAGAACAAAGGGCGAUUAUUCAAAAUAUGUAGUGGUAACUAUGGGUAUUUUGAUUGGGUCAUAAAUGAAGAAUCAAGCGGUGAUUCUAGCAUGACUAAUGAAGCAGUGAAUCCCGAAGCCAUCGAGGAAGCAUAAGAUUUGCCGACCAAGUUUGACAGUCUAGUUAGAAUAGUUGAAAAAAAAGACACUGAAAUUUCAUUAAACGUGACAUUCCGUAAGUGAAAGGAAAGUGCCGAGGUGAAUGGGAAUGGAAAAGGGAAGGGCCACACCCCAUAGGUAGUAGGCAAAAUUGAUAUUUUCCAUCUAUGUUUUUGCUUGGCGUUUGCUAUCGAAAAACGUAUGUAAAAUAUGGUUUUGUAAUUAAAUGUUUGACUUAAUGUUUGGUAGAAAUAGUUCUUGUUGCCAUAUCAAUAUGUAUGAACCGAGGACACGACUAGUUGCAACUCUUUGAGACAUGAAACGUUUAUAAAAAAG